rnacentral:rRNA from 1 species
AAUAAAAAUAUCUUUGGUUGGGGCAACCACGAAGAAUAAAUAACCUUUGACACCAAAAAGAAUUAACAAAUUUAAAAUUUUUAAAAAAAAAGAUCCAGAAAAUACUGAUCAAAGAAAAAAGUUACCGCAGGGAUAACAGCGUUAUUCUCUUUAAGAGUUCAUAUUGACAAGAGAGUUUGCGACCUCGAUGUUGGACCGGGACACCCAAGAGGUGCAACAGCCUCUAAAGGUAGGUCUGUUCGACCUUUAAAGCCCUACGCGAUCUGAGUUCAGACCGACGCAAGUCAGGUCAGUUUCUAUCUA